rnacentral:tRNA from 1 species
GGUGAAGUCGUGGAGUGGUUAGCACACCUGCCUGGAGAGUGGGAUGCCCGCAGUUCAAAUCCUGGCUUCGCUG